GAUAGAAGCCCACUGGUUUGGGUGUUUAGCUGUUAACUAAAAUUUUACGGGAUCGAGGCCCGUUUAUCCAG
rnacentral:tRNA from 1 species